GGGUGCGAUCAUAAUAGCGUUAGUGCACCAGAUCCCAUCAGAACUCCGCAGUUAAGCACGCUUGGGCCGGAGUAGUACUGCAAUGGGUGACCUCUUAGGAAGUCCCGGUGUUGCACCCU